rnacentral:lncRNA from 1 species
AUAGGUACCUAGUUUCUUCUUCAACAGAAAGAAAUCAUAGCAAAACACUUUUGAAAAUCCUCAAGAAUUGACUUAUCUUGCAUAACAAGUGGCACCUAAACCUAGAAUUGACAUACAGUUUUUCCCAGUGCUAGCAAGAGUAUUCGACUUUACAUCUAUGUGAUUAACAAGAACUAGAAUUAACAGCAGAUGAGCCACAAGAAUGAAAGAGAAGGAUAAUGUCAAUCACUUUUUCAAAUUAAACAAUGAGGUUAUUAUAUGAUCAGUGUCACUCAGUCAAGCACCUAUCCUGCAUAGUAAACCAUGCUUAGGACCAUAAAAGUAACAUUCUUAAGACUCAAGUGUAUCCAGCUUAUAGACUGGUUGAGGGCAAAAAGUGUAUUUUACUCACUUUAAGAUGCCUCUAACACUUAACUGGCACAUGGAAGUUUCUAGCCAUUAAAAGAAUUAAACUCACCCCUUUAGAAUAUUCUUAUUUCACCAAUUAAUUAUUUCUAGUUAUAAGAAUAAUGAAAACCCUGUUAUUUAAAUAUCAAGUGGGUGAAGAAAAGCUUAUUUCAGGUGGAUAUCUGAUUUGAACCUUAGUUACUUACUAGCUAUGUGACUAGAUAAGUAAUUUAACCUCUCUCUGUAACUGUUACCUCAUUCAUAAAAUGGAGUUAAUACUCAAAGGGCUUAGAAAGUGUUCGAUAUAUAGUAAUGGUUAUGGUUAUGACUUAAUUAUUAUCAGUAGCAGAUAUAUGCAAAGUAAGCCUUUUAAAAUGUCAAAACCCAAUAGGUCAUUUACAAAUGUAGUGGUUAAGAGAACACUAGGGAACCAAAUGACCUGGAUUCUGACUCCAACUCUGCCACAUAUGAAAUUAGGUGUUCUCCCCUCUUAGCAUCUGUACCCUUGUUUUCUGAUUCAAAAUAGAGAUACAAUUGCACCUACUUCCUACACUUGUUUUAAAUUAGUUAAUACAAGUUAUUAUUUCAAAUAGUUACAACACACUGAUAACUAUGAAAACAUGAGUUUUCUUUUAGGUUUGGUUCAUGUUCGAUUUUGGGUAAAG